UACAACUGUGAGAAGCUGCUGCUGAGGGUCAAGGGACAGAUGCAACAUGUACUGUUCAGCCAGUGAAUUCUUUACUAGGAUGAAGAAGGCAUUGCCCGCCCUAAACUUCCUCUGAUUGGCUGAUACCUGUUGCCAUCAUUGAUUGGAUUGGUCAAGAGUAGGCAUGACGGGUGAGAUUGGUUAGAGUCAGCCAAUCAAGGCAGAGAAGGGGCGGGUCAGGCGUCCGCUAUUCUAGGUGGGAAGUAACCCCGCAAACUGUCUAGUCUACAUUUGAGUUUAUGAACGAAUUAAACUUUAGUGAGCUUCAGAGGUUUAUUUCUUUAUCUUAAACAGAUGCAGACGCACUGGGCACAUGGAUAACCUUUUCUUUGUCAAGUUUUAGGACUUUACCUUGGUGGCUGGUGGGACUCUGGGAGAGCAGGAAGGGGGAGGGAGACGACAAGUGAGACGGUGGCAUCAGUACCAGCUGCUGCAUGGGGUGGAGAGAGCUUCCAUCAAGUAGUACCGACAUUCAGCACCUCAGACGUCCUGUCCCGUAGGUGGCUCUCUCACCAUGUUCCAGUGGUUUGCACUGAGCUCUCCUACUUUGCUCCCUGGACCUGGAACGAUCUGCAGAGCAACUUACAUCUUGAUAAUCUUGUUCACUUGGGAAAACAAUUUAAAACCAUGUCAAAAGAACUGUGGUGGUUAAAUACAAAUGAAUAAAACCUUGCUCACUUAUAAUGACGUUAAACAAUAACCAAGUGUAUUUGCUAAAUGUUUGAAUGGUCAGUGGUCACUGCAGUGGUCAGCCGUUUAAGAGCCAUCUUCAUGUAUAAGCCUGGGUUUGGAUGCUGUGCUUGUAUAAAAGCCGCCACAGUGGACCCUAGUGAGUCAUGCCAGACACUGCCACCCACUGGCCAGGUGUAGUAAGUG